AUUUAUUUUUAGUUUUAUUUUUAUUUUGUUUUUUUUGUAAAAUAUUUAAAUUUUUUAUAUUAGUGUAAAAAGUUAAAGAUUUGGUUGUUGAACUGGAUUAGUACCCAGGUAAUCAAAAGUUAUUAAUGCGGGAGUAAAGUUUUAUUUAAACCGAAAAAAUAUUGGCUGACCUUAAAUUUUUCUUUGGAACAUGUGAAUUUGGAUAGUCCUCCUUGAUUUUUUUUUUUUGGCUCAUGUAUGAUUGUUGUUUUUUAUAUUAUUUGUAAAUUUUUUUGAUUUUUAAUUUUAUGCAGAUAGACACUUGGUUUAUAAAAAGAAGUUUCAUGUGUUACUAUUAUGAAAUUUAUCGGAUUUUUGCAUUAAUAGUUGA
rnacentral:rRNA from 1 species